rnacentral:rRNA from 1 species
UACGAAGGGGGCUAGCGUUGUUCGGAAUUACUGGGCGUAAAGGGCUCGUAGGCGGCCAACUAAGUCAGACGUGAAAUCCCUCGGCUUAACCGGGGAACUGCGUCUGAUACUGGAUGGCUUGAGAUUGGGAGAGGGAUGCGGAAUUCCAGGUGUAGCGGUGAAAUGCGUAGAUAUCUGGAGGAACACCGGUGGCGAAGGCGACAUCCUGGACCAACACUGACGCUGAGGAGCGAAAGCCAGGGGAGCAAACGGG